rnacentral:tRNA from 1 species
GCCGGGAUGGCGGAAUUGGUAGACGCAAGGGACUUAAAAUCCCUCGGUUUUACGACUGUGCGGGUUCGAGUCCCGCUCCCGGUACCA